ensembl:lncRNA LINC01115 long intergenic non-protein coding RNA 1115
ACCUCGCAGGCAGCGCGUUUACGUCAGAGCGCCCGAGUCCACGGACCUCGCAGGCAGCGCGUUUACGUCAGAGCUCCCGAGUCCACGCACCUCGCAGGCAGUACGUUUACCUCAGAGCUCCCGAGUCCACCGACCUCGCAGGCAGCGCGUUUACGUCAGAGCUCCCGAGUCCACGCACCUCGCAGGCAGUGUAUUUACAUGGAAAUUGGAUCGAGGCACUGACGUUUAAAUCUUGGCUCCUGCUCCUGCCGUCUAGACAAAGGGCGCACCCAUUGCCGUCUCAGACACCAGAGGCUCCCACUUGACCAGAAACCCACUCCUGCGAUGAAGGAUGAAUCUUCCUGAGGGCAGAGCUCUUACCGCCCACUCGCCCCUCUAAGUUCCCACCUCCCAAGGCCGUGUCUCUGGGGAUGAAGUUUCCAACACACAAACAUUGGGGGCACCUUCAAGCCACGGUGUCCUGUAAACCAGCGUUCCAGCAUUUGCCAAAUGGUGUUUCUUUUACCAGGAGAUAAGGACUCUGAUCAGGUCCUUUGGAAAGAGCAAGGGAAGCUGUUCAUGUUCUAUCCUGCGUGUUCUCGAGAAAGUUUUGAUGACAGAAAACAUCACACAGAAAGGGGAAGGCAUCGCAAGUUUCCAGCUCCAUGGAUUUUUGCAAACUGAGCACAUUUGUGGGCCAGGAGUGGGGCCCACAGCGAGAAUAUCCUUCCUGCUGCUCCUGCCAUCCAUCCACCAGCACAGCCAGUUCCCAGCUGUGGAACACACAGAGCUGUGCACUGUUGAGUUGAUCACGAUGAGAACAGUGAGUGUCUCUCACCUGUGGCUGCACUUGCUGGAAGCACCGCCUGCUCUGGCCUCUUUGCUCCAGAACAUUCCCUGCUGAACAGUGACACCAGGGAAGGCCAAGGAUGGGCACACAAGGCUCAGUCCUUCACCUGAUGGCGGCUUGGCCAUGUUCAUCUUUCCCUUUUCUCAAAGACCUGUGUGGGGCCAGAGAAAGCUGGGGUUUCCGGUGGCCUGCAGUGUGGCAGAAAGCAGAGCCUUCCACUGGGAAAAGGGGAAAAAGGGAAUUCUUCCGAAGAGAAGGAUGAAGCCAGCAGCAGGGGUCCCGGCAGGCCUGACCCCCAUGGAGCUGAUGAGGCCGAGUGUCAGGAAGCACUCCCAUUGUCCUCGAAAACAGACACAGGUCAACCUGCGUUACGGGGUCUGCGAGGUCAUCAGAUAACCCCACAGUGUCGAAUACUGUAACUACAUGCCUGCCUAAGAUGACCUGGUAUACUGUAGGUGCACACAAGAUUCUCCAUAGUGAAAGUACAUAUACAAUUGUUGCUAAUUUUUGAUCCUAGAAAAUCCACUGGAUUGAUACUUUAGAAGAGGAUAAUGGAUAAAAUCAAUCGAUCGGAAAAUUCAAAUAUUUAGAAAAUACUAGUUUCAAUCUACUGUAAAAAUAUCAUAAAUUUGUACUGAACUAUUUUUCCUUAUUACAAAAAUAUUCGAGCAAUAAAAAUGUCGGAUAUUA